UAUAGUUCCCUAAGGGGUUCCAAUUUUAUUCAUCAUUGGGACUUGAUGCAUCCAAGAUAAGGAUCGUUUGAUUCAUUUUGGCACCUUGAAAAGACGUUAAGCUUUUUUAUUUUCAUUGAAACAACACAACGCAAAGAAAGAAAGAAACACCAUAAGGCUGUGUGAGAUUUCAAAAUGAAGAUGACAUAAGUAUUCGUUCCAAAGAAAUCAGAGGUUUUUUUUCUUAUUUAAAAAAAAAAAGGCUUUACGUUCGUCAAAGUUUGUUUCUUUGAUUAGUUACGCCCCUUGAAAGCAUUGUUAAAUGAAGCCCCGCCCCUUCUACCUGCCUGUCGUUGAAAAAAGAGAAAAACACAUUACAGUAACAUUUUAACUGCCAACUUGGUUUUCACAACAACCCCCCACUGUACCGCCUGUACUGUGUCAUUGUUCAACAUGUAGGUUGGAUGAUUUGAUUAGCAUGCAUGUAGAGUUCUUAACAUUGGAGUCACUCAGUCUUAGCUUCGUCUAGCUGAUCAUCUCUCUCACGGUUUCCUCUUGUUUUUUUCUAGCAGUGUCUUUCGCAAAGUGUCCGUUUGUCUUAGAGUAAGUAGUUCACUGUCCCAUUACCCAGAACUCAUGUGGCUCAUCAUGUGACUCCCCUCUGGAUUUUUUUUUGUAGCUUGUCCGUCCGAAGAGGAAGUGAUGUCGACGUUUGACAUUUCACCUAUCACCCCCUAUUGACCUUUGGCCCCAAACAAAGAUGGCCUCGGUCCAGGGACCUGAGUCAGCAGAAAGGUAACAGAAGGAAUCACUUAAAAACAAUAGAAUCUAUCUAUAUAUUAUUAACUAAACUGCUUGUUGGCUAGUUGCCAUGGUUCCCUGUAAGCUAUGUUUACGUCACUUCCUGUUGUUGUUGUUGUUUUUCAGUCCCAACGAAUCAACUCGUUCCUCCUCCUCCUCUGUAGUUUCCAUGACGACUUGAUUUCGUUUCACCUUGUUUGUCAUUAUGUCAUUAUUAUUAUUUUCACUUUUUGCGUCAGGGAAGUCUCUCCGUGAUUUAGUAACAUAUAUAUUCAUAUAUUCAUAUAUAAUUGAUACAUAUAUUAACUUAGACCAUUUAUUUUUUUUGCGGUCUGGAUUCCCUCCCUGCGUUAAAGUCCCAACCCACAAUGGUUCACAGUAUUAAUGUGAAAAAUGUGAAAAAGAAUGAAAUCAAACAGAGCAGCUAAAGAGAAGAGUGUCGGGGUGUAGGGAGGAGGGGGAGAAGAGUGUAGGGGUGUAGGGAGGAGGGGGAGAAGAGUGUAGGGGUGUAGGGAAGGAGGGGGAGAAGAGUGUAGGGGUGUAGGGAAGGAGGGGGGAGAAGAUGUAGGGGUGUAGGGAAGGAGGGGGGAGAAGAGCGUAGGGGUGUAGGGAAGGAGGGGGAGAAGAGCGUAGGGGUGUAGGGAAGGAGGGGAGAAGAGCGUAGGGGUGUAGGGAAGGAGGGAGAGAAGAGCGUAGGGGUGUAGGGAAGGAGGGGGGAGAAGAGCGUAGGGGUGUAGGGAAGGAGGGGUAGAAGAGCCGUAGGGGUGUAGGGAAGGAGGGGGGAGAAGAGUGUAGGGGUGUAGGGAAGGAGGGGGAGAAGAGUGUAGGGGUGUAGGGAAGGAGGGGGAGAAGAGCGUAGGGGUGUAGGGAAGGAG
rnacentral:lncRNA from 1 species